rnacentral:rRNA from 1 species
CCUACGGGAGGCAGCAGUGGGGAAUAUUGGUCAAUGGACGAAAGUCUGAACCAGCCAAGUCGCGUGAAGGAUGACUGCCCUAUGUGUUGUAAACUUCUUUUAUAAAGGAAUAAAACGAGGCACGUGUGCCUGUUUGCAUGUACUUUAUGAAUAAGGAUCGGCUAACUCCGUGCCAGCAGCCGCGGUAAUACGGAGGAUCCGAGCGUUAUCCGGAUUUAGUGGGUUUAAGGGGAGCGUAGAUGGGUUGUUAGGUCAGUUGUGAAAGUUUGCGGCUCAACCGUAAAAUUGCAAUUGAUACUGGCAGUCUUGAGUACAGUUGAGGUAGGCGGAAUUCGUGGUGUAGCGGUGAAAUGCUUAGAUAUCACGAAGAACCCCGAUUGCGAAGGCAGCUUACUAAACUGUGACUGACAUUGAUGCUCGAAAGUGUGGGUAUCAAACAGGAUUAGAUACCCUUGUAGUC